rnacentral:lncRNA from 1 species
AUGUAUUUUGGGAGCUCUCUGCCGGCUUCUGGGGGAUUUUCCACCCGUGCCAACUCGGAACCGAAAGUUAACUUCUUAAUUUCCUUUACCCCAGAGGAACCCGACGUGCUCUAUUUGCAAACCCGCCACGUGAAACGGGAAGUACAGCCAUUCGGAGGCCGUUGGCUUGUAGAAAAUGAGAGCGUAAUUAAAAAGAAAAAGACCAUAGCGGCAGUGGAAAGCGUUUCGCUGGGAACCCUUCAUUAUGGCGAUAGUUUUAAUUACCGUUCAAGCUGCCUGCUGGUGCAUUCAAGAGAUUCCCGAAACAAUUCUGUGUCCUUUCCACCAUCGAACGCAAUGCAUUCGGUACACAUUAUUUCUGAUUUUCAUCUGAGCAAAUAAAUAUCUAGAAGAGGGAAAUGAUCAAACCACUGUUCCCUUUAGGAACACUGCAUAGACUACUGGGUUUCUACAAGUUUUAACUAUAGCUUAGAGUUGGUCACAGACCCAAAGGUCAAACACACUAAAAUAACAAUAAUAAUAAUGGUACUUGUUAAGCGCUUACUAUGUGCCAGGCACCGUUAUAGCCCUAGGAUAGCUAUAAGUUCAUCAGUUUGGACGGGGUCCCUGUCCCUCAUGGGGCUCAUAGUCGCCAUCCUCAUUUUCCAGAUGAGGUAACUGAGGGCCAGAGAAGUGAAGUGACUUGCCCAAGGUCACACAACAGACGAGUGGUGGAGCUGGGAUUAGAACCCGUGAAUUUCUGACUCCCGGGGCUGUGCUCUAUCCACUAAGCCAGGCUACUUCUCUAAAUUUGGUCUCAGGAGAGGAUGAAUCAGAAAACUGAUAAACUGGUAUUAGCCCAAGGAAGUCUCUGCUUCUAGCCCUCACGGUUACUUGUGCCGGCGUCACCCGGGACAGUAAGAGAUCUGCAUCGCUGAGAAGCUGGUACGGCUCCUUACCCCCAGCACUGGGAUAUCUACAUAUAUUGGACCGAAUGCUCCAUUUUACUUGUUCUGAUUCCACUGCUCGUGGGUAUUUCCUCAUUAGAGUGCAAGCGGAUCAUGGGCCGGGAACCCGUCUUGUGCUUCUGGUCUUCUUCCCGAGCGCUAAGUACAGCGGAUUUUCCUCGGUAGGGGCUCAGGGGAUAUCACAGCUAUCACUUCUAAGUGCUCGCUGAAUGAAAUGCAGUGGCUGGUUGGCUGUGCUUUAAACUCAAAUGGGGUCCAAGGUUUGGGCCCAACUUAACUCAAAUGGUUGGACAGGGCAGAGAGGUGUAGGGAAGUGGUGUGGCCUACAGUGAGGAAGUAAGGAAGAUCGGGUUCUAGAACUGGCUCAGCCACUGGCCUGAUGUAUACCUUUGGGCCAGUCACAACCUCUCUGGGCCCCAGUUUCUUCAUUUGUAAAAUGGACCUAAAAUACCCGUUUUCUCCCUACAUUUUAUGCCACGUGGCAUGCAUAGGACAGGGACUGUGUCCAGCCUGAUUAUCGCGUAUCUACCCCCGUGCUUAGUACAGCGUUUAGCACAUAAUAUCCACUUAACAUUAUUAUUACUACUGUUAAAGAGGAGUCUUGACCCAGGUGUGGCUCUUUCUAGUCAGGGCUAACUGAAAUGUAGGGACUGAAUGGAGUCAACAACGGCGCCUUCUCUAGAAGAAGCAGAGAAGCAGCGUGGCUCAGUGGAAAGAGUCCGGGCUCGGGAGUCGGAGGUCAUGAGUUCGAAUCCCGGCUCUGCCGCUUGUCAGCUGUGUGACUGUGGGCGAGUCGCUUCACUUCUCUGUGCCUCAGUUACCUCAUCUGUAAAAUGGGGAUUAACUGUGAGCCUCACGUGGGACAGCCUGAUGACCCUGUAUCUACCCCAGCGCUUAGAACAGUGCUCUGCACAUAGUAAGCGCUUAACAAAUACCAACAUUAUUAUUAUUAUUAGAAGCAGCAUGGCAGAGUGGAUAGAGCACGAACCUGGGAGUUAGGAGGUCAUGGGUUCUAAUCCUGGUUCUGACACUUGUCUGCUGUGUAGCCUUAUGCAAGGCACAUCGCUUCCCUGUGCAUUUACCUCAUCUGUAAAAUGGGGAUUGAGAAUAUGACCCCCAUGCGGGACAGGGACUGUGUCCAACCUGAUUUGCUUGUAUCCUCCCCAGCGCUUAGUUCAGUGUCUGACACAUAGUAAGUUCUUAACAAAUAGCACAAUUAUUAUCAUCUUCUCUAUUUAAUAAUAAUAGCAUUUGUUAGGCACUUCUUAUGGGCUAGCCGCUGGGGUGGGUACAGAGUUGUGGGACAGGGUACGGUCCAGUUUCCUCGGACUUCCUCAUCUAUGCCUAGUGAAAAUGAUCUCAGCAUAAACUCUUUGGGGUUUCCAAGUGGGCAUGCCUGGGGAAUUGGGAAAGGUAGAGGGUGUAGAUGGAAGUUUUCAUAUUCGGGGGAGUUUAACCAGGCCGUCGGAGAGAGGGAGGAUGGAGUAAGUGUGGAAACUGAUGCUCUAGUGAAGGGCAUGAAAACUGUCGCUGUCAGUGUUUUGGGGGUAGUCCUUUCGAUAUAUUCAUUUUCAAAAACCGGAUUUUGCUAUUUAAUCCAUUAGUGGUAUUUACUGAGUGCUUAUGGUGUGCAGAGCACUGUACUAAACCAACUGGGAGAGUACAGUACGACAGAGUCGGUAGGCACAUUCCCUGUCCGUAACUAGCUAAUGCAACAUAUAGUAGAAUCUGGUUUAUAUGCAAAGAAAUGCACUAAAAAUAAUUAGGUUGGCAUUUAGAGACCAACCGAUUAGAUCGUAUUUCAAAUAUUUCUUGCCGUACUACAGAAUGGAGGGAGCAAGAGAGAGAGGAGGACACAUGUUUAAAGUUUCGCUGCUCAAUUCCUGCACCAUUUCAUAACGCCACAUCAGAAAAAUCAGAGCCAAACAGUGAUCUAAUCCGACUGACUCCGUACUGUCGGAGAAUCGGGGCUUGAUUACAAGAUGAUCAAGUCUCUCUCAACAACUUCUGAUUGCGAGAUGUCACUCACUCAUUCCUAUGCAAAUAUUACUUCUCAUGAUUCGUGUGGAAUUUUCUUGAUCUCGGUGUCUACGCUGUUUAUCUAGAGGUCUCAGCUCCACUUCAGCUUUGUCUGCUUUGAAUCUUUGUGGCACACACAUUUGAUGACACUAAGUAGUAUAUUUAAGGUGGAAGAAUUAGACCAAUGGCAUCAGUGCUUCCUAAAGAGGGAAACCAGAUGGAUGCAGUGGGUUUACUAUGUCUUUUGACCUAUCUUUCCCUCAGAAGCACUGAGGAAAUUCAUCCAUAAUGUAUUUAUUUAUAUUAAUGUUGGUCUCCCUCUCUAUUCUUUCUGACCUAACCUUCCCUCAGCAGCACUGAGGGAAGUUACCCAUAAUUUAUUUAUUUAUAUUAAUGUCGGUCUCCCUCUCUAGACUGUAAGCUCCUAGUGGGCAGGGAAUGGGUCUACUAACUCUGUGGUAUUGUACCCUCCCAAGUGCUUAGUACAGCGCUCUGCAUAGAGAAAGGGCUAAAUAAUUACCAUUGACUGAUGGAUGGAAAUGAUGAUCCACUAUCAUCAUCAUCAUGAGUAGUAGUUUCAGAGCACUCAGGGCAUUGCGCUUGAGUCAAAAAACCUACCAAUCAAUCAACACCAUCUCUGGGCAUCUACUGAGGAGUAGGCAUGGUUACCAAGACACUUGAAAGUCUACAAAAGUAGCAAGACAUCACUUCAGGGGCGAUGCCGGUAUUUUAGGAGUCAAUUUCCCCACGGGACAAAUCCACUUCCGGAGAAUUAAAGAACCGAGCCCUUCAGGAGACUGGGCUCCAGUAGUCCAUCGAUCAGUCGGUGGUAUUUAUUGAGCAUUUCCUGAGUAGCGGGCACUGUACUAAGCACUUGAGAGAGCACGAUAAACCGGAGUUGGUAGGCACAUUCCCUGCCCACAAGGAGCUUAGAGUUGAGGGGAGACGGACGUUACUAUAGAUCCCCGCUUCUUACGAAGGGGAGUGGGCUCCGCCACCUCUCUGGACCCUCCGGGGCUACGCGCUGCUCCUGCUAUAGAGUCCUGGAAGGCAGGAAGACAUUUCUGUGAUCGCCAUUUUGUCACUGACCAUGGGGAAACUGUGGCGGCAUGACCCUCUCCAAGACCUUUCAGACCCCCCGACGGGGAACGCCCGGCUCCGAUGGAGAGCCAUCUCCACCCAUAAGUCACUGAGAGGAAAAUCAGGCUGAUUAACUACCUAGGGCCUAUUAAGUCCCACGGACUACUAAUGGCUUGAUAGCAUUCGACACAAAAUUAGCCCUUUGAACUCUUCGGAAAUCCCUAAAAAACAAAAUGAAAGUUAUGGCAUUUCUAGAUCAGCUGUCUGUCCCACAAUUCUGGAACUGGAUGGUUGUCUUAGUCCCUGUCUGAUUUUUAAGUUCUUUUUCUCCUCUUGCUCUUUUGCACUGGGGGGAAGGGGAGAGAGAAGGAAGCACGAGGCUAAUAAUGAAAAUGUGAUUAUACUCCAGUGAGCAGUAGGAACUUUGUAAGAGUGAUUGCAACAUUAGUAAUGAAUGGCCUCGGCGGAUGACAGGCGAAAAUGAAUGCCGACGUCUCUUACUGGCUCAGAGCUCUAAAGGAGCCACCGGGACGCAGGUAGCCUAUGCGGCCGGAUGAUGAAUGUUUUCCAUUUCUUUCGAAAGUGUUGGAAGACCAAAACGGAAAUGUAUGCGUACAAAUAAGGAUAGACAGCUUGAGGAGAAAGUUCCCUCCCUGCUGAGAAUCCGUGCCGGGUUUCAGUGUCAUCGGACUGGGAUCACACACCCGUUUGGCCCUUGCAACCUCUCCACUCCCAAGCUGCAGCUCCCCGGUCACUGGCAAGCCCAACUCGCAUUCUAAUGCCCGCACCUUGAGGGAGGCCAUGUGCAUGCCUGCUGCCUUUCAUUCAUUCAUUCAAUAGUAUUUACUGAGCGCUUACUAUGUGCAGAGCACUGUACUGAGCGCUUGGAAUGUACAAGUCGGCAACAGAUACAGACCCUGCCCUUUGACGGGCUCACGGUCUAAUCGGGGGAGACGGGCAGACGAGAACAAUGGUAAUAAGUAAAGUCGAGGGGAAGAACAUCUCAUAAAAACAAUGGCAACUAAAUAGAAUCAGGGUGAUGUACAUCCCAUUAAACAAAAUAAACAAAAUAAAUAGGGUG